AACAAAAAAUAAUCGGGUUUUAAGGAUUAUUGCAACAAUUGGAUAAAAAAAAACGGACAUAGAGUGCAAACUCUUGCUGACCCUACCUUUAUCAUGAGAGAAAUUAAUAAAAAAGCCAUAAAAUUGUUCUUAAACGAGGAGGCCGUAUUGUAUUGUUUAGUCACAUCUAAUCGUAAAGUAUUUGACUAGGAUGUUACGGAACUUACGGCUGUGUUUUGUUGACAUACGUACAUUAUUACCAAUCUCACGAAAACAUAUAACGGUGCCUUAAUGAGCUUAUCUUAACCAGAUACCAAUUUUAGGAAACGUUUACUGUACUCUUUCUGUUUCGUAGAGGCAAAUAGAUUGUAUGGUCAAAAGUAAUUUUAGGAUAGCGAAGCUUAAAAGUUGCUUUCGGUACGUUAUUUUUAAUUUUAAACUAAACGAAACUCAAACUAGCCAUUGUAAAAGAAUACUAAGCAUAUAUCGGCUUUAAUAAUGAAUGAUUACUUCUGUUCAGUCAUAUUGAAUUUUAUAUAAUGCGCUUGGCUUUUGUAAUUCUGUCGAUGUUGUAACAGAUGAACGGUGAGUACAACCGGAAAAUGAGAUGUCUUUAUAUUUUUUUUUUGA